rnacentral:rRNA from 1 species
UGGGGAAUUGUUCGCAAUGGGCGCAAGCCUGACGACGCAACGCCGCGUGGAGGAUGAAGGUCUUCGGAUUGUAAACUCCUGUUGCCCGGGACGAAAAGCUUCGACCUAAUACGUCGAAGUCUGACGGUACCGGGUGAGGAAGCCCCGGCUAACUCUGUGCCAGCAGCCGCGGUAAUACAGAGGGGGCAAGCGUUGUUCGGAAUUACUGGGCGUAAAGGGCGCGUAGGCGGCCCGCUAAGUCGAACGUGAAAUCCCCGGGCUCAACCCGGGAACUGCGUCCGAUACUGGCAGGCUUGAAUCCGGGAGAGGGAUGCGGAAUUCCAGGUGUAGCGGUGAAAUGCGUAGAUAUCUGGAGGAACACCGGUGGCGAAGGCGGCAUCCUGGACCGGUAUUGACGCUGAGGCGCGAAAGCCAGGGGAGCAAACGGGAUUAGAUACCCCUGUAGUCC